rnacentral:rRNA from 1 species
AGUGAACGCUGGCGGUAGGCCUAACACAUGCAAGUCGAACGGCAGCACAGUAAGAGCUUGCUCUUACGGGUGGCGAGUGGCGGACGGGUGAGGAAUACAUCGGAAUCUACUUUUUCGUGGGGGAUAACGUAGGGAAACUUACGCUAAUACCGCAUACGACCUACGGGUGAAAGCAGGGGAUCUUCGGACCUUGCGCGAUUGAAUGAGCCGAUGUCGGAUUAGCUAGUUGGCGGGGUAAAGGCCCACCAAGGCGACGAUCCGUAGCCGGUCUGAGAGGAUGAUCAGACACACUGGAACUGAGAGACGGUGCAGACUGCUAAGGGAGGCAGCAGCGGGGAAUAUUGGACAAUGGGCGCAAGCCUGAUCCAGCCAUACCGGGUGGGUGAAGUAGGCCUUCGGGUUGUAAAGCCCUUUUGGUGGGAAAGAAAAGCAGCAGGUGAAUACCCCGCUGUUCUGACGGUACCCAAAGAAUAAGCACCGGCGAACUUCGUG